ACACAGCGAUGUGAUGCUAAUCUCAAAAAGCCGAUCGUAGUCCGGAUUGGAGUCUGCAACUCGACUCCAUGAAGUCGGAAUCGCUAGUAAUCGCGGAUCAGAAUGCCGCGGUGAAUACGUUCCCGGGCCUUGUACACACCGCCCGUCACACCAUGGGAGUUUGUUGCACCAGAAGUAGCUAGCCUAACUGCAAAGAGGGCGGUUACCACGGUGUGGCCGAUGACUGGGGUG
rnacentral:rRNA from 1 species